ensembl:lncRNA
AUACGGGACCAUAUAUGGCAUGUGGUCACAUGGUGUCUCCCGCAGAAAACCUUGUGUAAAAUACUGAGGUAGCCAUUUUUCCAAUCGCUUCUUAUGAGAAACCAACUGCCUCAACGGAUAUAUUAUAGAAUAUAUUUGUUAAAACCACCUUGAGGAUGGAUCCUAAACAACGUGUUUCUGUCUAUUAUGUAGCUAAUUUUGAAAAAGGUUUGGCGUUAUAGUUGUAGCAUUAUUCGGUCGAUUUCUCAGCCAAGCAUGGUGAAGAAACGGGAGCUUUUUCAGUCAAAAAUAAAAAAGUCAAAAAUAAUAUUUUUGGAAAAAAGGAACAUUUGCUAUCUAACUGGGAGUCUCCUGAGUGAAAGCAUCCGAAGUUCUUCAAAGAGGUUGGGUUGUUCAGCACAGAGUGUGUGGGUGCGUGUGGGUGGACAUUACCCCUGUGUAUGUGGAGGUUACCUGUGUACUACCCAGCCAGCUAGAGCCAGGACAAUGCUCUCCUCUCCUCCAUGCUGAGACAGUGGGGGCCCUGAGAUCCUCAAAAGGUUCUACAGCUGCAUCAUCGAGAGCAGGCAGUGACUGGUUGCAUCACUGCCUGGUACGGCAAUUGCUCGGCCUCUGACUGCAAGAUACUAUAGAGGGUAGUGCAUACGGCCCAGUACAUCACUGGGGCUAAGCUGCCUGCUAUCCAGGACAUCUACACCAGGCGGUGUCAAAGGAAGGCCCUAAAAAUGGUCAAAGACCCCAGCCACCCCAGUCAUAGACUGUUCUCUCUACUACAGCAUGGCAAGUGGUACCGGAGUCUAGGACAAAAAGGCUUCUCAACAGUUUUUACCCCCAAGCCAUAAGACUCCUGAACAGGUGUCACCCUACUUCCCCAUUAUCCCCUGGGUAUUUAAACUUGUGUUUUCUGUCUGUCAGUGCCAGUUCAUCUUGUAUUUUCCAAGUCAACCAGUGUGUUUUUCCUGUGCUCCUGCCUUUUCUGGUCUCUUUUGCUGGUCCUCCCGGUUUUGACCCUUGCCCUUUUUCUGGAUUCUGUACCCGCCUGCCUGACCAUUCUGCCUGCCUUGACCUCGAGCCUGCCAGCCACACUGUACCUCCUGGACUCUGGACUGGUUUUGACCUUUUGCCUGUCCACGAUCAUUCUCUUGCCUACCCCUUUUGGAUUUAAUAAAUAUCAAAGACUCAAACCAUCUGCCUCCCGUGUCUGCAUCUGGGUCUCACCUUGUGCCCUUAUACAUGAUCGGAUAUCGACAUGCCUGGGUGGUUGACCCUGUGACCCCUGUAGAGCAACGCUGUUUGUAGGUCUUCUAUAGUGCAGCAGAUCAAUGGCUGUGACAUGAGGCCCCUGACAGCUGAUCGAUAACAGCCUCCUAUUGAUUGGCAGUAAAUAAAGUGAUUGAUGGAUCGGCCUGAAAAUGAUUUGGUGACUGAGAGGAGAGGAGUGCAUCUGGACUUAGCAAGCCUGUUGGUAUAAGUCAGAAGAGGAUAGGGAGUAGGAGUGGGAGGAGAAGGAAGAGGAGGAGAAGCAAGAGGAGGAGGAGUAAGAGGAAGCGGAAGAAGGAGAUAGAGGAAGGACUACAGCCAAUGAUGAAGAAGAGGAUGAAAAUGUGGAGGAGGAAGAAAAGGAAGAAGAGCAGGAGGAGGAGCAGGAGGAAGAGGAGGAGGAUGAGAGAAUUAAGAGAGGGUGAAGAUGAUUUCUCUGGCAGAGUAAUUAAAGGCCUUUCUCAUCUCCGAGGAUUUCUCUCUGGGUUUAAUUACGGCCUGCGUCUUGCACUUUUUACAUUAAACAUGAUCCAGCCUGGCUUUUGUGGCUCAAUAGCUGCGUUUAGACAGGCAUACCAAUUCUGAUAUGUUUUUCACUAAUUGGUCUUUUGACCAAUCAGAUCAGCUCUGAAAAAUAUCUGAUGUGAAAAGAUCUAAUGUGAUUGGUCAAAAGACCAAUUAGUGGAAAAAAGAUUAGAAUUGGGUUGCCUGUGUAAACGCAGCCUACUAUGGGUAUUACAUUAACCUAUCCUCAUUGAGAUAUAUGCCCGCCUGCACACAGGCACAGGCAUGCACACACACACACACACACACACACACACUAAAUCCAGUCCUUUGUUCAGUUAUGCUAAUGGCCUGUGGGGGAGCACCUAAGGUGAUGGAUGCAACUGUGACACUAUUUCAUAGAGCAGGACACUUCAGUCUUCUUUACCCAGCCCAGACCCAUAUUGGUGCCCCAGUAGGGGAGGUCACAGCCACAGUACAGUUAGCCACAGCCUGCCUUCCUUUGAUAUAUGACAGUGCCAACUUUCAAUUACAUAUUCCCAGAAACCCAGCCCUGGCCAAUCUAAUCCUAUUCUGGGAGGAAAUUAAAGAGUACGGGAGUUGUCCUGAGAGAGGAAAAGAAAAGAUUAAGUUAUGAAAUUCAUAAAAUCGUUUUUUUGUUGUUGAUGAGGACAGAAGAAUACACAAUCUAAUUGAGUGAUGAGGGGAGAAGAUGGAUAGAUGAUUAUGUAUGGUAUUAUGAAAACUUUUUCAAACUCUCCUGUUUACUGCUACGGUAUAUGAACAUCAUAACUUUACACCCUUGUACAGUACAGGACAUAUAACCAUUAUUUACUGUUUCCCUUGUCUGGUGUGUGCUUUUAAAACAGAUUAUAUAAAUGUG